rnacentral:tRNA from 1 species
GAAAUCAUAGUAUAAUUUAGUAUAUUUAAUUGCAAAUUAAAUGGUGUUGAUUUUU